UACGUAGGGUCCGAGCGUUGUCCGGAAUUAUUGGGCGUAAAGGGCUCGUAGGCGGUUUGUCACGUCGGGAGUGAAAACUCAGGGCUUAACCCUGAGCCUGCUUCCGAUACGGGCAGACUAGCGAGUAUGCAGGGGGAGAAUGGAAUUCCUGGUGUAGCGGUGAAAUGCGCAGAUAUCAGGAGGAACACCAGUGGCGAAGGCGGUUCUCUGGGCCGAUACUGACGCUGAGGAGCGAAAGCGUGGGGAGCGAACAGG
rnacentral:rRNA from 1 species